GAGGGUGCAAGCGUUAAUCGGAAUUACUGGGCGUAAAGCGCACGUAGGUGGUUUGCUAAGCUAGCUGUGAAAUCCCCGGGCUCAACCUGGGCACUGCAGUUAGAACUGGCAAGCUAGAGUAGGGUAGAGGGGUGUGGAAUUCCAGGUGUAGCGGUGAAAUGCGUAGAUAUCUGGAGGAACAUCAGUGGCGAAGGCGACACCCUGGACUCAUACUGACACUGAGGUGCGAAAGCGUGGGGAGCAAACAGGACUAGAUACCCUGGUAGUCCACGCCGUAAACGAUGUCUACUAGCCGUUGGGGUCCUUGAGGCCUUAGUGGCGCAGUAACGCACUAAGUAGACCGCCUGGGGAGUACGGUCGCAAGAUUA
rnacentral:rRNA from 1 species